UCUAAGGAUGAGUGAAAGUAAAAUUUCACUCUAAAUAAUAUACAUCGGUAAUGUUGACCGUCCUCAUUUCUCUUCUUAAAGUAAUGUUUCCUUCUUGUAGGGCCGGUAGCUCAGUUGGUUAGAGCACACCCUUGAUAAGGGUGGGGUCGAAAGUUCGAGUCUUUCUCGGCCCACCAAAAACCUAAAUGGGGGAUUAGCUCAUCUGGGAGAGCGCCUGAUUUGCAUUCAGGAGGUAGCAGGUUCGAUCCCUGUAUCCUCCACCAGGAAACAUUUAGUUAUUAAAACUGUAAAUAAAAAUAAUUUAUAUCAAUAUCUAUAUCCGAACAUUAAAAGUUAUUAUUUAAUGUUCAAAAUAAAAAUUUGAUCACAACAUAGAUAAAUUUUCUGUUAAAAGAAUUUUUUUCUGUGCAUA
rnacentral:tRNA from 1 species